UCUUUUUCCUGGAGGUGGGGAGGUGGGACUGACAGUUCCAACCCUCUAAUCAGACCAUUGGUUGGUUCCUGUUGUCACAUUCAAUGAAGGCGAGAUCAUUCAUCAGUUUAAAAUUAUUUCAAUUUUGAAAAGCCCCCAUCCUUAGGGGCUUUUCAAAAGUCUCCUCAUUAACAUAAACUCAGAUGUGAUUGAAAAAGACUUCUUAUGAAUAACAACAACAAAAAAAACACCUGUUUCACUUUUAUCACUCUGGAGCUAUUUCAGGAAUUGAGGACAAAACCAAAUAUUAUAACAAAAUGUGCCCCUGUUGCUCUAAUUACUUAGGAAAUCACAAGGGUUUGGGGAGCUCUGAGCCAGAAACACAAAAACCAGAUAUAUAUUUCUUAUCAUAAAUCAUAACGUCACAAACAGCAACAGAAAGUUAGAACCGACGUACAGAAUACAACUAUGUCAAUUAGAAAUUUGAAUAUGUAGCCAUAAAAAGAGCCAUAAAUCAGGUUAUUUGUUUUUAAAGCUUCAUUCUGCUGAAUUUGUAGAGGUAAGUCUUAGAUUCCAGGGGACCCACAGCAGAGCAUUUGGAAGAAGUUGAGUAGUAGGUGGAGGUGGAAUCCUGUGGAACACUGAUGUUUGGAUGAGCAAAGAAGGUGAUGAGAAAGACUGAGGAGAAAAUGUAAGUGCUUGAGAAGAACCAGAAGAGUCUUAAGCCAAGAAAGUAGAAAAUUUGAGGAGAUAAGUAGUUAACCGUGUCAAGUGCAGCAAAGCCCUCCAGUAACAAACUGAAAAGAGACCACGGAAGUGGGCAGUGUGGAGAUGUUAAUGGCAUAUCCACAUAGAACCCCAGUGCACCUCAAAUUCCAAGUCACAAUUCCCAGUUCAUCAUCCUUCUCUCCAAUCACACUCUUCCUCCUGCAUUUUCUAUUUUAAUUUUUGGCAUCUAGCCACCAAAGCUAGAAAGCUGAGAAUAAUUAUAUGCUCCUAGAACACCCACAUCCACUCAAUUUCAUGCAGAUUUCUAUUCCGGAAUAUUUCUCAGAUCCUCCUCUCCUAUCCAUCUGUACCCCAAAGCUGUAAUUUGGGCCCUUGUUAGCAUUUGCCUUGAGUGUUUUAUGACCUCCUGACCAGUCUCCUUGCCUCUGGUCUUGUUUCUGUAAAUCUGUACUAGUUAUCUAUGUCUGCAUAACAAAUUAUCUUAUACUUGUAACUUAAAACAACAAUAAAAACAUAUUAUCUCUCACUGUUCCUGUGGGCCAGGAAUUCAGGGAAAGCUCAGCUGUGUGGUUCUGUUGUGAAGUUGUCGUCAAGACGUUGGCUGGAGCUGCAGUUGACUGAACCCUUGACCAGGGCUGGAGAAUCCACUUCCAAGAUGGCUCCCAUGCAUGGCUCCAGACUCACUGGAGACAUCCUGACACAGUAUGCUUUGCCUAGCACAAUGUGAUGCCCUUUACCUAGUAAGAGUGAGUCUCAUAAAGGUGCUGCCUUCCCCCGCAGAACAAACAGCGGAAAUGCAUCAGGAGAGCUCAGCUGCAGACAGAAUGCACAUCGUGAAGCAGGAGCCACCACGGGAUUGCUUAGAUGAAAGCCGAUUUCAAUGAACAUUGUGUUUCAAAGCCUGCUUCCUCUUGCGCCGUAAGAGCUGCAGAAGGAACAUCCCACUUGCGUCUGCUGACACAAAAGAAUGCUGUGGUUGGGAGAUCUUAUCAAGCCUUCCUGUGCCACAGUAACAGAGCUCCACUUGUGUCUUGUAAGAAUUGCUCAUUGUUUCAUGGGGACGACUGGCUCCUUUGGGUGGGAUCUGACGGCAUCUCAUGGAAUGGAGGUAGGUGGUGUUGGGAGAUCAGCCAGCCACAUGACCCAGCUUGCUGGCUUUGGGGAAGUCAGAGAGAGGAACAGACUUCACCCAGGUCUGUUGAAUAGCUAAGCAUUUAAGGUUAAACGAUUAAAAUAGGCAUUUUUGUUUACUACUAUCUUCAACUGUGUAUGUUAAGAACAAAAAAUAAAAAUGAUGGUCAGAGUUUCUCUGUUGGUAUAAGCUGUUUCUUCUCUUUUAAUCAACUCACCUAAAGCUGUCUCAUUCUGAUAAAAUUGAAAAGAAUAAAGGAGAAUUUUUUUGAAAACAGAAAUGUACUGAUUUAAAGCCAUCUCUGGAAAAGUUAGAUGCUAAUAAGUACAUACAUUAGCAUUUAUCACAUAAACCUCAAAAACAUAUAUGUUUUACAAGGAUGAACCUAGGGUUUAAAAUUAUUGACUUUAUAUUUAAAAGUGUAAGUUAAUAAUAUUGGAUUAAUUAAAUUUGGCCAAUUCUAGAUGAUGUAUCCUUUGCUUAGAAAGUUUGUGGCUUCCCAGUUUAGGCCUCUUCUAAUAGCGAAAAUUGAUGAUUACCUGUUUAGCUAUAUGGAGAGUAGAAUUAGAAUUUUUUUCUCUUUUCUCUUCCUUUCUAAAGGUUUGCUGAGUAAUUAGUACAUAUAAGAAAUAUAUAACUAGAUAUGAUAUGAUAUGGUAUGAUAUGCCAAGGAAAAAGGGUGACCAUGAGUUUCCUAAAGGGACAAUGCUUGAGAUUAACAUUUUUAAUCUCUCCCCCCUGUAUCCCCAUGUAGUACUUUCUGAAGUGCCCUUUGCCCUAAAUGUACUCAUAUUCAGUUAUUUCAAUAACAAAAAUUAUCUUCCUCUUACUCUGUAUAAGGUCCUAAAAUCAAAAUAUUACCAAAACACCAUCUUUGUUCUUAAUGCAUUUAUUAAAAUUAUCAAAUGUUGUAAUUUGUUUUCUCUUAGUGAACUGUGAGCCUCUUGAAGAAAGACAUUGGGUCACAUUCAUCUUCUUGUCUCCACUGCUGAGCACAAUGUCUUGUUCAUAUUGGUGUUGACUAAAUAUUUACUGAAUGGAUGAAUAGAUGGAUGGAUGGAUGGAUGGAUGAAUGGAUGGACGGGUGAAUGGCUGGCUCUGCUGUAGUGCCUACAGUUACACAGGGGGAAUUGAUUCAGGUUGUCUACAUGGUUCUUGGCAUGACAACACCUGUUCCUUCUCUAGGCCUUUAUUAUCCCACUCUUAGAUGCAUAGACUGAAGAGAUUCUCAAGAUCCCAUAAUCCAGCUCCUUCAGUUUACAGUUGAGGAAAUGAGACUCAGAAACAGAAUCUGAUUUAUUCACAGUCCCACAGCUGACAGGUGCCAGAUCCGGGUUAAACCCAGUUCUCCUGCUUCUGGUCAAAUGUCCACUGCGUUAUGUUGCUUUCCAUGACUCAUAGUUGGAGGCUUUAAGGGACCCUUUGUGGCUGCUGAAUUCAUGUGCUGAUGGUGCUGAAGCAAGGUAAGAACAAGAACGACUCAUCUCUAUUCAGGCUGACAUCUAUUCAGGCCACACUCAAACUUCAGUGGGUGGUGUCUGGUCCCUCCCUAGUCUCCUAGAUAACCUUUGGAGAUGGCGCAGUCCAGCCCUAUUCCACUGGUCAAGAUUUCUCUUUUACACAGAGUCCAGCCUUUCAAAGCCCUUUCCAAAGAAGCUCGUGCUC